rnacentral:misc_RNA from 1 species
GAUGAAGAACGUAGCGAAAUGCGAUAAGUAGUGUGAAUUGCAGAAUUCCGUGAAUCAUCGAAUCUUUGAACGCACAUUGCGCCUUCUGGUAUUCCGGAAGGCAUGCCUGUUCGAGAGUCAUUAACAACCGUUUCGAUCCCUUUCUUUCAGAAAUUACAAAGAGGAAAAGGGUUUGGUUAUGGUGGAGGAGGGAAAGGGAGCGUUUAGCCUGUAAAAAAAGAGGCUGUGUUCCGCCUCCCCCCCAAAAUUGUACAGGGGGUCGUGUGCGCCCACGCAUCGAGGUGUUGUAAAAGCUGCCACGGCACUUUUCACCUGUGCAGUGCGAGAUUGGCCAGCCGGUUUAAAAACCCCUCCAAACAAUCAAAGGUUGACCUCGGAUCAGGUAGGGAUACCCGCUGAACUUAAGCAUAUCAAUAAGCGGAGGA